CAUUUGAGUGAGUGGCGAACUGGUGAGUAACACGUGGGAAACCUGCCCAGAAGCGGGGGAUAACACCUGGAAACAGAUGCUAAUACCGCAUAACAACUUGGACCGCAUGGUCCGAGUUUGAAAGAUGGCUUCGGCUAUCACUUUUGGAUGGUCCCGCGGCGUAUUAGCUAGAUGGUGGGGUAACGGCUCACCAUGGCAAUGAUACGUAGCCGACCUGAGAGGGUAAUCGGCCACAUUGGGACUGAGACACGGCCCAAACUCCUACGGGAGGCAGCAGUAGGGAAUCUUCCACAAUGGACGAAAGUCUGAUGGAGCAACGCCGCGUGAGUGAAGAAGGGUUUCGGCUCGUAAAACUCUGUUGUUAAAGAAGAACAUAUCUGAGAGUAACUGUUCAGGUAUUGACGGUAUUUAACCAGAAAGCCACGGCUAACUACGUGCCAGCAGCCGCGGUAAUACGUAGGUGGCAAGCGUUGUCCGGAUUUAUUGGGCGUAAAG
rnacentral:rRNA from 1 species